GAUGAACGCUGGCGGCGUGCCUAAUACAUGCAAGUCGAGCGAACAGACGCGGAGCUUGCUCCUCUGACGUUAGCGGCGGACGGGUGAGUAACACGUGGAUACCCUCCCUGUCAGACGGGGAUAACUUCGGAAAACCGGAGCUAAUCCCGGAUGAUAUCUUGCACCGCAUGGUUCGAUAGUAAAAUACGGUUUUGGUGUCACUUAUAGAUGGGUCCCCGCCGCAUUAGCUGGUUGGUGAGGUAAAGGCUUACCAAGGGAACGAUGCGUAGCCGACGUGAGAGGGUGAUCGGCCACACGGGAACUGAGCCACGGUCCAGAGUCCUACGGGAGGCAGCAGUAGGGAAUGGUCCGCAAUGGUCGAAAGCCUUACGGAGCAGCGCCGCGUGAGUGAUGAAGGUCUUGGGAUCGGAAAGCUGUGUUAUUAGGGAAGAACAAAUGUGUAAGGAACUAAGCACGUCUUGACGGUACCUAAUCAGAAAGCCACGGCUAACUACGUG
rnacentral:rRNA from 1 species